CUACUGGGGGAAAUUCGAGCGGAUCUACCUAUACCUCGACCGAGAGGCCACCGGCGCCGCAUCUUCUGAGUUUGACCUGUGUCUUGGGUGACUCGGAAAAGCGGCGACAUGAGAGAUGGUCCGGCCUCAGGAGACUUGGCACAGCACACUAUUGAAGGUUUGGUCCAGAUAAUGAGAGCUCAGAGAUGUUGCCGAUUGUUAGUGCACUCUUGAAUAUGGCAUAUCUUGCAUAUCAAGUUCUUAGACACAUG